AAAGGAAGUUGACGGGGGCCCGCACAAGCGGUGGAGUAUGUGGUUUAAUUCGAUGCAACGCGAAAACUUACCUGCCCUUGACAUCCUCGGAACUUGUCAGAGAUGACUUGGUGCCUUCGGGAACCGAGAGACAGGUGCUGCAUGGCUGUCGUCAGCUCGUGCCGUGAGGUGUCGGGUUAAGUCCCAUAACGAGCGCAACCCUUACUGUUAGUUGCCAGCGGGUCAAGCCGGGAACUCUAACGGGACUGCCACCGUAAGGUGAGAGGAAGGUGGGGAUGACGUCAAAUCAGCACGGCCCUUAUGUCCAGGGCUACACACGUGUUACAAUGGUCGGUACAAAGGGCAGCUACACCGCGAGGUGAUGCUAAUCUCUAAAGCCGGUCUCAGUUCGGAUCGAAGUCUGCAACCCGACUUCGUGAAGUUGGAUUCGCUAGUAAUCGCGCAUCAGCCAUGGCCGCGGUCGAAUACGUUCCCGGGCCUU
rnacentral:rRNA from 1 species